AUUGAACGCUGGCGGCAGGCCUAACACAUGCAAGUCGAGCGGAUGAAGGCUGCUUGCUCCUGGAUUCAGCGGCGGACGGGUGAGUAAUGCCCAGGAAUCUGCCUGGUAGUGGGGGAUAACGUCCGGAAACGGGCGCUAAUACCGCAUACGUCCUGAGGGAGAAAGUGGGGGGUCUUUGGACCUCACGCUAUCAGAUGAGCCUAGGUCGGAUUAGCUAGUUGGUGGGGUAAAGGCCUACCAAGGCGACGAUCCGUAACUGGUCUGAGAGGAUGAUCAGUCACACUGGAACUGAGACACGGUCCAGACUCCUACGGGAGGCAGCAGUGGGGAAUAUUGGGCAAAGGGCGAAAGCCUGAUCCAGCCAUGCCGCGUGUGUGAAGAAGGUCUUCGGAUUGUAAAGCACUUUAAGUUGGGAGGAAGGGCAGUAAGUUAAUACCUUGCUGUUUUGACGGUACCAACAGAAUAAGCAACGGCUAACUUCGUG
rnacentral:rRNA from 1 species